rnacentral:rRNA from 1 species
UACGUAGGUGGCGAGCGUUGUCCGGAUUUACUGGGCGUAAAGGGAGCGUAGGCGGACUUUUAAGUCAGAUGUGAAAUCCCGGAGCUCAACUCCGGAACUGCAUUUGAUACUGCCUGUCUUGAGUGAGGUAGAGGGGAGUGGAAUUCCCGGUGUAGAGGUGAAAUUCGUAGAUAUCGGGAGGAACACCAGAGGCGAAGGCGACUCCCUGGGCCUCUACUGACGCUGAGGUGCGAAAGCGUGGGGAGCAAACAGGAUUAGAUACCCCGGUAGUCCCUGAG